rnacentral:rRNA from 1 species
GACAGAGGGUGCAAACGUUGUUCGGAAUUACUGGGCGUAAAGCGCGUGUAGGCGGUCGGGCAAGUCGGAUGUGAAAGCCCAGGGCUCAACCCUGGAAGUGCACUCGAUACUGCUCGGCUAGAGUCCCGGAGAGGAUGGUGGAACUCUCGGUGUAGAGGUGAAAUUCGUAGAUAUCGAGAAGAACACCGGUGGCGAAGGCGGCCAUCUGGACGGUGACUGACGCUGAGACGCGAAAGCGUGGGGAACAAACAGG